CAGUAGCCACGGUAAUACGUAGGUGGCAAGCGUUGUCCGGAAUUAUUGGGCGUAAAGGGCUCGCAGGCGGUUUCUUAAGUCUGAUGUGAAAGCCCCCGGCUCAACCGGGGAGGGUCAUUGGAAACUGGGAAACUUGAGUGCAGAAGAGAAGAGUGGAAUUCCGCGUGUAGCGGUGAAAUGCGUAGAGAUGUGGAGGAACACCAGUGGCGAAGGCGACUCUCUGGUCUGUAACUGACGCUGAGGAGCGAAAGCGUGGGGAGCGAACAGGAUUAGAGACCCCUGUAGUCCCUGUCUCUUAUAC
rnacentral:rRNA from 1 species